GCAGUGGGGACACUGUGACUCAGCCAUCUGGAACGGCAGGAAUUCCUCCCGCUGGCCCUACCUGCCCUGGGAACGGGCGCACAGGUAGAACUGGUCCAGUUGUUCUCCUCUGGGAUGGGAGACCCCGCGGGGGAUUGAAUGCUCCUGAGCUCUGUGGGCUUGCAGGUUCCUCACCAAGACAAGCAUCAGGGAGAGGGCUUUGGGUCUGCGCCGACGCACGGAAAUGCAAGGGCCGUGAAAGGAGCCCUUCUUCGGGGCUCUCCAGGAGCCAGGCACUGAACAAGAACUGCCUUUGAACGGGGACGGACGCUGCUCGGCCGGCGGCCAGCGGGAGAGCGGCGGAAAAAUCGCUGCGUCGCGGAGACACCGACGAAGUCCGUGUCCACCCAUUGCUGUGGGUCUGCGCUGCCCCGCGGGGCACCCAGAAAUGGUGUCCUGUUAUGAGAUACGUGGUGUGUUCUGAGCAAAGGGGGCACCCAGAAAUGGUGUCCUGUUAUGAGAUACGUGGUGUGUUCUGAGCAAAGGGGUCACGUUUGGAUGAGGGCUGUGUGAUGCGCGCUGUGUGCGGCGUGGGAAUGGCACGGUGAUCCCCAGGGGGGGCUUCGCUUGAGGGGUGCAGGGGUUUGUAGCACAGAGCGUGGAGGAGAUGCUGAGGUGGCAGUGGUGGUGGGCAGGAAUUGGGGGUGUUCGGGGUGCAGGGGUUUGCAGCAAAGCACAGAGCAUGGAGGUGGUGCUGAGGUGGCAGUGAUGGGGGUAGGAAUUGGGGAUGCUUGGGGUGCAGGAGUUUGCAGCAAAGCACAGUGCAUGGAGGUGAUGCUGAGGUGGCAGUGAUGUUGGGGUAGGAAUUGGGGGAUCACUCAAAGUGCAGGGAUUUGCAGCACGUUGCAUGGAGGUGAUGCUGAGGUGGCAGUGGUGAUGGGCAGGAAGGGGGGGCAUAGUGCAAGGUUUUGCAGCACAGAGCAUGGAGGUGAUACUGACGUGACAAUGAUGGGGACAGGAAUUGGGGAUACUCGGGGUGCAGGGGUUUGCAGCACAGUGCAUGGAGGUGGUGCUGAGGUGGCUGUGAUGUUGGGGUAGGAAUUGGGGAUGCUCAGAGUGCAGGGGUUUGCAGCACAUUGCAUGGAGGUGGUGCUGAAAAGCCAUGGAUGGGGCGCAGAGAUGGGUGACAGCCAUCGGCAUCCGCGCCCUUCCUUUGCUGAGCCGCACAGAGAUCACCUUGCCCCCGAAUCCAGCGCACGGUUCUCAUUUUUUUCUGCCCCUCAGACCCCAUCAGACCCCAUCAGCCGAGCUGGAAGGGGAGCUGGCAGUCUGCCCGUCCCGUCCCGGCAGUGCUGCCGGGCAGAAAGCAGAAACAAAAAAGGAGGAUGGUGCCACCUCCCGGCACCCGCUCGGCUCUCCCCACCCCGCAGCGCACCGCGGACCGGCGGGGGACCCGCGCGGCCGUGGGCUGAACUCCACGGGGCAGGUGGGGAAACUGAGGCACGGGGCACCUCCUGCCGCCGAGCCCGAGGGCACGGCCUGUCCUUUACAUCCCCUCUCACCUCCCCGUCGGGCUGCGGAUCGCUCGGCUCCUUCGUCCCAUCCCACCUCUGCAGGGCUGUGGGGCGCAGGGGUGGCCGAACCCCGUCUCCCAUCUCCAUCCGUGGGGUGCAUUUGGGCACUGUGGUAGGGAUUCGUGGUUCAGCAGCUGAACUGCAAACAACAGAAAGGCCACGGGGGGAGAUUUCAGGCUCUUUAGUUCUGGCUGUCACAAAAGCAGCACCUUUUGGCCCAAAACUGCAGCGCCGGUCAGCACGCAGAAGCGAAGCCCACUUUGGUGCCAUGCUCAGGUUGUGCCCUUCGUUCCGACUUCCCCAAUUCUGGGCUCUUUGCGAAUGAAAACUGCCCUACAACCAUCAAAACGUGCCCUCCCAGUGCUUCAAACGAGUGAGAAUCCAUCCCUAUAGGCCUAUGGAUGGCCGGGGGUGCACGAGGGCUUGGAGAUGGGAGGAAACCCAGAAGUAAGAAGGGGUUCCCCCUUUAGCCAACACUCUCCCUGCAGGAUUCCCAUCCCAAUCGCAUCAGGACUGCCUUUCACCCUGCCCCACUUCCCCGAUAACCAUCGCAGCUUUCCUUCCUUAAUUGCUUUCUGCUGUUCUCGCAGAUCACCCCCGAGAACCCGGACACGCUCCUCCUCAUUCAAUGGGCGAUCAGUCGCCAAUCAGCCCCAACGAUCCGGCUGCGAUAAGGUCCCGGUUUGAUGUUAAUCAGCCCUAAUGCACAGCUGGGGCGGAGCUCUGCAUGCUUCGUUCACACGCAGCAGCUCACUGCUUUCCCUUCAACCCUCUGCUGCAGUGCUUUCCCCUUGCAGGGAUUUCCAAUUGGGGAGAAAACGGUUUAUGCCAUGCAUUCAGGGCAAUGAGCUGAGCACCAAACUGCAGGACCCCAUACCCACCCCACCCAGCACAACCUGAG
ensembl:lncRNA